rfam:Gossypium raimondii Chr08_contig_1057, whole genome shotgun sequence.
UUGAGCCGGAUGAGAGGAAACUCUCAUGCCCGAUUUGGAGGGGGUGAUCUUGUAGGGAUUGUUUUUAAACAUAUAAAGUAUUUUUUUGAUACAAUGUCUAUUUCUAU